rnacentral:rRNA from 1 species
CGUGUGCUUACAAGUAGUCAGAGCCCGUUAAUGGGUGAUGGCGUGCCUUUUGUAGAAUGAACCGGCGAGUUACGAUUUGAUGCAAGGUUAAGCAGUAAAUGUGGAGCCGUAGCGAAAGCGAGUCUGAAUAGGGCGUUUAGUAUUUGGUCGUAGACCCGAAACCAGGUGAUCUACCCUUGGUCAGGUUGAAGUUCAGGUAACACUGAAUGGAGGACCGAACCGACUUACGUUGAAAAGUGAGCGGAUGAACUGAGGGUAGCGGAGAAAUUCCAAUCGAACCUGGAGAUAGCUGGUUCUCUCCGAAAUAGCUUUAGGGCUAGCCUCAAGUGAUGAUUAUUGGAGGUAGAGCACUGUUUGGACGAGGGGCCCCUCUCGGGUUACCGAAUUCAGACAAACUCCGAAUGCCAAUUAAUUUAACUUGGGAGUCAGAACAUGGGUGAUAAGGUCCGUGUUCGAAAGGGAAACAGCCCAGACCACCAGCUAAGGUCCCAAAAUAUAUGUUAAGUGGAAAAGGAUGUGGCGUUGCCCAGACAACUAGGAUGUUGGCUUAGAAGCAGCCAUCAUUUAAAGAGUGCGUAAUAGCUCACUAGUCGAGUGACACUGCGCCGAAAAUGUACCGGGGCUAAACAUAUUACCGAAGCUGUGGAUUGUCCUUUGGACAAUGGUAGGAGAGCGUUCUAAGGGCGUUGAAGCAUGAUCGUAAGGACAUGUGGAGCGCUUAGAAGUGAGAAUGCCGGUGUGAGUAGCGAAAGACGGGUGAGAAUCCCGUCCACCGAUUGACUAAGGUUUCCAGAGGAAGGCUCGUCCGCUCUGGGUUAGUCGGGUCCUAAGCUGAGGCCGACAGGCGUAGGCGAUGGAUAACAG